AGUCUACUGCGCUGCCUUUCCCUUCGGAGCCGCCGCCGCCACACUUUGACUAGCUCGAAGCCCUGUACAGAUCAGUUUGUACCGAAGCCAAGCCUGGCAGCCCAUCAAGCACGGAGGAAAAAGCUGCGGAGCGUGAGGAGCGCAGAGUGGCAUUGAUGGCUUUGCUUCCCCAUUUUAUCCUCAAAAUGAUCCUGUGAUGUAGGUUAGGCUGAGAGAUAGACUGGCCCAAGAUCACUCACUCAGUGACAGUCACAACCAAAAAGUCUAGCCACAACACCAGCAGGUACAAAAAGAGAAGAAGCCCGAGACAAUUGGCAGUGAUGAUCCCUAUCAAAAAGCAGAGUGAUUUUUUUCCCCUUGCUGAUGCUGCUGGUGGCAGUAGCUGUUGAAAAGGAGUCACCGAACGAUUCUUCUGUAGCCUCCAGUUUGCUUUCAUAAACAAGGAAUGCAUUUCCUAAC